UACGUAGGGUGCAAGCGUUGUCCGGAAUUAUUGGGCGUAAAGAGCUCGUAGGCGGUUCGUCGCGUCGGCUGUGAAAACCCGGAGCUCAACUCCGGGCCUGCAGUCGAUACGGGCGGACUCGAGUUCGGCAGGGGAGACUGGAAUUCCUGGUGUAGCGGUGAAAUGCGCAGAUAUCAGGAGGAACACCGGUGGCGAAGGCGGGUCUCUGGGCCGAUACUGACGCUGAGGAGCGAAAGCGCGGGGAGCGAACGGG
rnacentral:rRNA from 1 species